UUUGGAUUCGACAGGGAUAGAUCGAGCUUAAGCUGCGAGCCGGAGGGAUCGUCUCCGUCAUCAACGUCGCCUAAAGAUAACUGGCAAACAAAACAACUACGCUUUAGCUGCUUAAUGCUAAAGGCUCCUUUCUUCCAUCGCCCAUGUGGAGGAAAAGGGGUUCAACUUAAGUGGGCUACGCCCGAUUCCGCCGUCUGAGGAAGAGGGAAGAGACGAAUCAGACUAGCUGUCCGGAUGCCUGCCGACAGGCUAAGGAACAGUGAAAUGUUAAAUAUGUCGGAUACGCUCGUAGAUGCUUAAGUGGCGAUAUCUCUGGACGUGGGUUCGAUUA
rfam:Aeribacillus pallidus strain 8m3 NODE_17, whole genome shotgun sequence.